rnacentral:rRNA from 1 species
UACGAAGGGGGCUAGCGUUGUUCGGAAUUACUGGGCGUAAAGAGCUCGUAGGCGGUUUGUCGCGUCGUCCGUGAAAACUUGGGGCUCAACCCCAAGCUUGCGGGCGAUACGGGCAGACUUGAGUACUGCAGGGGAGACUGGAAUUCCUGGUGUAGCGGUGAAAUGCGCAGAUAUCAGGAGGAACACCGGUGGCGAAGGCGGGUCUCUGGGCAGUAACUGACGCUGAGGAGCGAAAGCGUGGGUAGCAAACAGG